ensembl:misc_RNA Metazoa_SRP Metazoan signal recognition particle RNA
GCCAGGUGUGGUGGUGCACGCCUGUAGUCCUAGCUACUCAGGAGGUUGAGGUGGGAGAAUUGCUUGAGCCCAGGAGUUCAAGACUGCAGUGAGCCAAGAUUGUGCUACUGCACUCCAGCCUGGGUGACAGAGUGAGACCCUGUCUCAA